rnacentral:rRNA from 1 species
GACGAACGCUGGCGGCGUGCUUAACACAUGCAAGUCGAACGGAAAGGCCCUGCUUUUGUGGGGUGCUCGAGUGGCGAACGGGUGAGUAACACGUGAGUAACCUGCCCUUGACUUUGGGAUAACUUCAGGAAACUGGGGCUAAUACCGGAUAGGAGCUCCUGCUGCAUGGUGGGGGCUGGAAAGUUUCGGCGGUUGGGGAUGGACUCGCGGCUUAUCAGCUUGUUGGUGGGGUAGUGGCUUACCAAGGCUUUGACGGGUAGCCGGCCUGAGAGGGUGACCGGCCACAUUGGGACUGAGAUACGGCCCAGACUCCUACGGGAGGCAGCAGUGGGGAAUAUUGCACAAUGGGCGGAAGCCUGAUGCAGCAACGCCGCGUGCGGGAUGACGGCCUUCGGGUUGUAAACCGCUUUCGCCUGUGACGAAGCGUGAGUGACGGUAAUGGGUAAAGAAGCACCGGCUAACUACGUA